rnacentral:rRNA from 1 species
UACGUAGGGGGCAAGCGUUGUCCGGAUUUAUUGGGCGUAAAGAGCGUGUAGGCGGCUAGGUAGGUCCGUUGUGAAAACUCGAGGCUCAACCUCGAGCUGUCGAUGGAAACCAUCUGGCUAGAGUCCGGAAGAGGAGAAUGGAAUUCCUGGUGUAGCGGUGAAAUGCGCAGAUAUCAGGAAGAACACCCGUGGCGAAGGCGGUUCUCUGGGACGGUACUGACGCUGAGACGCGAAAGCGUGGGGAGCGAACAGG